GUCGAGAAUCAUUCACAAUGGGCGAAAGCCUGAUGGUGUGACGCCGCGUGGAGGAUGACGGUCUUCGGAUUGUAAACUCCUGUCAUGUGAGAGUAAGAACCAGGGAGUAACUGCCUGUGGUUUUGAGAGUAUCACAAGAGGAAGAGGCGGCUAACUCUGUGCCAGCAGCCGCGGUAAUACAGAGGCCUCAAGCGUUGUUCGGAAUCACUGGGCGUAAAGGGUGCGUAGGCGGCGCGGAAAGUCAGGGGUGAAAUCCCGGAGCUCAACUCCGGAACUGCCUUUGAUACUCCCGCGCUUGAGAACUGGAGGGGACAUCGGAAUUCACGGUGGAGCAGUGAAAUGCGUGGAUAUCGUGAGGAACACUAGUGGCGAAGGCGGAUGUCUGGACAGUAUCUGACGCUGAGGCACGAAGGCCAGGGGAGCGAACGGGAUUAGAAACCCUUGUAGUCC
rnacentral:rRNA from 1 species